AAAUAGCUACCACUUCUACGGAGGGCAGCAGGCGCGCNAAAUUGCCCAAUGUCAAAAAAAAACGAUGAGGCAGCGAAAAGAAAUAGAGCCGGCAGUGCCACUGGCAUUGCCGUUUUCAAUGGGGGAUAUUUAAACCCAUCCAAAAUCGAGUAUCAAUUGGAGGACAAGUCUGGUGCCAGCACCCGCGGUAAUUCCAGCUCCAAAAGCGUAUAUUAAUGCUGUUGCUGUUAAAGGGUUC
rnacentral:rRNA from 1 species